UACAGGCUUAACACAUGCAAGUCGAGGGGCAGCAUAUCUAAGCUUGCUUUGAUGAUGGCGACCGGCGCACGGGUGAGUAACGCGUAUCCAACCUUCCCUAUACUAGAGGAUAGCCCGGCGAAAGUCGGAUUAAUACUCUAUGUUCUUCGUAGAAGACAUCUGAAAUGAAGCAAAGGUUUACCGGUAUAGGAUGGGGAUGCGUCUGAUUAGGUUGUUGGCGGGGUAACGGCCCACCAAGCCCACGAUCAGUAGGGUUCUGAGAGGAAGGUCCCCCACAUUGGAACUGAGACACGGUCCAAACUCCUACGGGAGGCAGCAGUGAGGAAUAUUGGUCAAUGGACGAGAGUCUGAACCAGCCAAGUAGCGUUGCAGGAUGACGGCCCUAUGGGUUGUAAACUGCUUUUAUACAGGGAUAAAGUGCACUACGUGUAGUGUUUUGUAGGUACUGUAUGAAUAAGGACCGGCUAAUUCCGUGCCAGCCGCCGC
rnacentral:rRNA from 1 species